rnacentral:lncRNA from 1 species
CCCUCACCAAUCUUUGAUGUUUUUCCUCUAGAUCUUUCAAGAUUUUCAUUUGUUUUAACUUUGUUUUGAAGAUUUGAGCUUUUGAGCAAAGUUUUGGAGCUUGGAGGUUCAAGAACCCAAUCUCUCCCACCUCCGAGUUUUUGGUCGUCUCUCUCUCGAUCUUCAAGAGGUAAGAGCCGAUCUUAAGCUCAUUGCAUGUUUUAAGCAAGUUUUAAGUAGAUCUAUGGGGUAGAAUGCAUGUUUAGGUUAUGGUUAUGUUUAUGGGUUUAAUGUGUGUUCUUGAACAAUGUGGAUGCUUGAUGUGUUAUAGAUGGGGUUUAUGAUGGUUUGAGACCCCUAGGAACAUGUAUGCUUGUGUAUGGGUGUUGUAGAAUAGGUUUGAUGCAUGUUUGGAAGGUUUGGAGGCGAAAUGUGCAAAAGAAGCCAAGUUUCUGCCCUUUGGCAGAAACCAUGUUCGGCAGUCGAAGGACUUUCGGCCGCCGAACAUGGCUGGGGAGGCAAGCCUUUCGGCUGCCGAAGCCUGCCCCCGAAAGGAGACUUUCGUCUCUUUCUGGCAGUUUCGGCCGCCGAAAGUGCCGCCGAACAUGCAUGAGUUUCGUCUCUGUCUGAGAGUUUAUGCCGCCGAAGGUGCCGCCGAACCUGCCUGACUUUCGGCUCUGGAGGGACUUUCGGCCGCCGAACCUGCCGCCGAAAGUGCCCUGUCCAGGCCUCUUUUGCAUGUUUUUCUAUGAUUGUUUCAUGAUGCUUUAGGGGGUUUUUGGGGAGUAGUUUAUAGUUAUGUUCAGAUAUGUCUGGUCCCUCAUUUGAGUCCACCUGUGUAGGUUCGGACCCGAGGAACCGAGGACCCCAGCAGUGAGUUCAGCUGCUUCGGUGUUGUCAGAGUCAGCCAGAGGUGAGUGGAACUAAACUUAUCCUUUUAAAUUGAAAAAUGAAAUGUUUUAUCAUGUUUCAUGCAUCAUGAUUAUGCAAUAGGAUGAUUGCAUUAGUUUUCACGAAUAUGCCGCAUUGCAUCGAUUGUUGUUGAUGUGGGUGAAUAUUGGAUGACCCAAUUAGUCCAUGACAGGAAGACCAGGACCCCAUUCUACGGCCUGGCACAAUGUAAGGAAAGACCAGGACCCCAUUCUACGGCCUGGCACAGUUAUGGGACUCGAAGACCAGGAGCCCAGAGGAGGCCCUGGGGCAAUGGUAAGUAAUGUAUGUUAUGACAGGAAGACCAGGACCCCAUGCUACGGCCUGGCACGGAAUUAGCUUGGACUAAUUGGUGACAAGUUCACCCAACCCUUAUGUGAAUUGUCUGUGUUAUGAUGCAUUUCAUAGAGUAUAGUGUUAAUAUGUUUUAUAGUUCUACUCACUGGGCUUUUAGCUCACCCCUCUCCCUUUACCCCCAGGCUUGCAGGUACAGUAUAGAGGAGGAGUCCGGAUAGAGUAAAGAAGUCAUGGUUAUGUAAUAGCUAGCAAUGGACAUGAUCAAAUUGUAAUGUAAUGUCUUAAUCAGUAUAGAUAUGUAAUGAGAUGAUGUUUAUGGAUUUUAGAGGUGUGCUUGACCAUAGAUUGUUGUUAUCCCUUUUAAUACAUGAUCUUAGAGAUUUUUAUGAUGUUUAUGUAAACCAACUCAUCAUAUGUUAUGUCUCCCUUUGGGGGCACUGUUGAGAUCCCACAGAGGGAUCAAUGUUAUGUAAAUGUUUAUGCACAGGUUGAGUUUGGUUGAUGUAUAUGGAAAGAAAAGUUUUAAUUUUUAUGUAUGUUGUUGAUCAUGUAUGGGAUUAUACAGGUUUACAGGUUAUAUGUCAGGCUUGCUACGGGUCCCGGCGGCCUUAAGCCGAUCUGGAUCCUAGCACCGGUAGCGGUCCGAUUUUCGGGUCGUUACAUAGUGGUAUCAGAGCCCUAGGUUCAUAUGGUCGGACCUAGAGUGUCGGGCUCAUAGAUGUUGUAGAAGGUCAAGCACAAUAAGAAAGAUCAUGUCCACUAGGAUAGGAUGUGGAGUCCUGUCUUGUAUGAUGAUGUGAAAUGCCAUGAUGAUAUGCAUGUGCAUUAAUGAUAUGCUAUGAUAUAUGAUGUAUGUGCUGAGGGUUCAUGUGUGCCGACAUGAACCAUAUGAUGCUAAUGUUUGCGCUAUGUGUGCUGUUUUUCAGAAACAGGAUGAGAGGAACUCGUCGAUCUGCACGAUUGACUGGAGUGCUACCUGAGGAUGAGGGCAUGAGCGCCCGUCCUCCUACAUUGCCUAGGGCAAUGUCUAGUAGGUCUAACAGAGAAAGAGCAGUAAGAGACCCUAGAAGGUCUUUGGAUCUAGGUAGAAGCAGAUCAGUGAGGGGAACAGUUCAGGGAGGAAUGUCAGAGGAUAUGGGGGAUGAUAUGGAUGUAGAGCAGAGAAGGGAUGGCAGUUUGGGAGUUAGUAUGUCAGAAGAAGGUAUGGGAGAGUCCCAAGGAGGCACUCAGGCCUCGGGAUUUGUUCAGCCACCCCACUACCCUCACUUCUCACAAAAUCCCGGGUAUUCGAUGGGAGGUACAUCGGAUUACCCUAGCUUCACCCCUUAUCCCACACAGAUGCCAUACCCACCUUACUACCCACCAUACUCACAAUACCCGAUGUAUCCACCACCGCCUUACUAUCCAAAUCCAGCUAACCCUACCUCAGAAAAUGUUGCACCUUCUCCACCAUCAGCAGAAACCCCAGUUCCAGAAACCCAAUUACCUAGGCCUAGCUCAUCUGGUAGGAGCAAGGUCAAGAUGACUGAAUAUAUGAAGCUGGGUGCUCCCCAGUUUGAGUCAAGUGAUGACCCGUUUGUGUAUCUUGAGAGGGUCAAGACUAUUACAGAGGAGUUAGGGGCGGAUGACAGUAGAGCCAUUCAGAUGGCUGGGUUCACAUUAAAAUGCAAGAAGGCCCGUGAGUGGUUUAAGAAUUAUGUGAAUCCGAGGGUGGACAACAUGUCUUGGGAAGAGUUUGCAAACGAGUUCGCAGGAUGGGCUUUUCCCGAUAGUUCAAGGGAGCUGAAGAUGAUAGAGUUUGAAGAGUUGAAGGAGCAGUUACAGGAGCUGGUAGACAAGGGCUUCAUCCGACCGAGUACCUCACCCUGGGGUGCUCCAGUUUUGUUUGUGAGAAAGAAGGAUGGAUCCCUCAGACUUUGUAUCGACUAUAGGCAGUUGAACAAAGUCACUACCAAGAAUAGGUACCCAUUGCCAAGGAUCGACGAUCUAUUCGACCAGCUAGCAGGAGCGGGUUGUUUCUCCAAAAUAGAUCUGAGGUCCGGGUAUCACCAGCUGAGGAUCAGAGAGGAAGAUGUGCCAAAGACAGCUUUCAGGACCAGAUAUGGGCAUUUUGAGUUCCUUGUGAUGCCGUUCGGGUUAACCAACGCCCCUGCAGCAUUCAUGGAUCUCAUGAACAGAGUGUUUAGCCAGUACCUGGAUCGUUUUGUUAUUGUCUUCAUAGAUGAUAUCUUGGUGUAUUCCAGGAAUGCAGAGGAGCAUGCCCAUCAUCUGAGGUUGGUUCUGCAGACCUUGAGGGAGCAUGGCUUGUAUGCCAAGUUCUCUAAGUGUGAGUUCUGGCUGAGGAGCAUUUCAUUCUUGGGGCAUGUGGUGUCAGAAAAUGGAAUAGAAGUAGAUCCCAAGAAGAUAGAAGCUGUGGCUAACUGGCCUAGACCCACUUCAGUGUCAGAGAUCAGAAGUUUCUUGGGUUUGGCAGGUUACUACAGGAGGUUCGUUCAGGACUUCUCAAAAAUUGCAGCUCCUCUGACCAGGUUGACCAGGAAGAAUCAGAAGUUUGUGUGGACCGACCAGUGCGAAGAGAGUUUUGAAAAGCUUAAGAAGAGGUUGACUUCAGCACCAGUGUUAGCUCUGCCAUCUAGUGAUGAGGACUUUACAGUCUUUUGUGAUGCGUCCCGUGUGAGACUGGGUUGUGUGCUUAUGCAGAAUGAGAGGGUAAUUGCUUAUGCUUCUAGACAGCUGAAGAAGCACGAGUUGAAUUACCCCACACAUGACCUAGAGAUGGCAGCAGUAAUCUUUGCACUCAAGAUGUGGAGGCACUACCUCUAUGGGGUAAAAUGUGAGAUCUUCACAGAUCAUAAGAGCCUGCAGUACAUCUUGAGUCAGAGGGAUUUGAACUUGAGACAGAGGAGAUGGGUAGAGCUGCUGAGUGACUACGAUUGUAAGAUUCAGUACCAUCCGGGUAAGGCGAAUGUCGUGGCAGACGCCCUAAGCCGGAAGUCACUAGGCAGUCUAUCCCACAUCACGGCGGAGAGGAGACCAGUGGUGAAGGAGUUCUACAAGCUCAUUGAUGAAGGUCUACAGUUGGAGUUGUCUGGUACAGGUGCUUUAGUGGCCCAGAUGAGAGUGACACCCGUGUUUCUAGAGCAGGUGGCUCAGAAACAGCAUGAGGACCCAGAGUUAGUGAAGAUUGCCAGGACUGUUCAGUCAGGCAAAGACAGUGAGUUCAGAUUUGAAAGUAAAGGGAUCCUCCGCUAUGGGAGUCGUUUGUGUGUACCAGAUGACAUAGGGCUAAAAGGAGACAUUAUGAGAGAGGCUCAUAAUGCAAGAUACAACGUUCACCCCGGAGCCACCAAGAUGUAUCAAGAUCUGAAGAAGGUUUAUUGGUGGCCAGCUAUGAAGAGAGAAGUGGCACAGUUUGUGUCAGCCUGCGAAGUGUGUCAGAGGGUGAAGCUGGAACAUCAGAAGCCGGCUGGGAUGCUUAACCCGCUACCUAUUCCAGAGUGGAAAUGGGAGAAUAUAGCUAUGGACUUCGUAGUGGGGUUACCGGUGACGUCCAACAGAUUGGACUCCAUAUGGGUGAUUGUGGACAGACUCACCAAAUCUGCUCACUUCAUCCCUGUCAGGAGUGGCUAUUCUGUGGACAAAUUGGCGCAGGUGUAUGUUGAUGAGAUCGUCAGACUACAUGGGGUUCCUGUUUCCAUAGUGUCCGAUAGAGGGCCCCAGUUCACCUCCAGGUUUUGGCGGAGUCUGCAGAAUGCCAUGGGUACUAGGUUGGAUUUUAGCACUGCUUUCCAUCCACAGACAUACGGACAGUCGGAGAGGACCAUCCAGACCAUAGAAGAUAUGCUCAGAAUGUGUGUGCUAGACUUUGGCGGUUCUUGGAGGCAGCAUCUACCUUUGGUGGAGUUUGCCUACAAUAACAGCCAUCAUGCUAGCAUCGGGAUGGCUCCAUAUGAAGCUUUGUAUAGGAGGAAGUGCAGAUCACCUGUUUGCUGGGAAGAAGUUGGAGAAAAGGCCUUGGCAGGGCCUGAGCUAGUAGAGAUUACCAGCAGGGUGGUACCCAUAAUCAGAGAAAGGAUUAAGACUGCUGCAAGCAGACAGAAGAGUUAUGCAGACAGAAGAGUUAUGCAGACAUCCGCAGACGGCAAGUAGAGUUUCAGGAGGGGGAUCUGGUAUUGCUCAAGGUGUCUCCAAUGAAAGGAGUGGUUCGCUUCGGGAAGAAAGGUAAGCUGGCUCCACGGUACAUCGGACCCUUUGAAGUCCUGCAAAGGAUUGGGAAUGUAUCGUACAAGCUGGAUUUACCUGCUUCAAAGGAGAGAAUCCAUCCAGUUUUCCAUGUUUCUAUAUUGAGAAAGUUCGUGUCAGAUCCGGGCAAGGUUCUUAGUGAGCCUGAUGUGGAGAUCCAAGAGGAUCUCACCUAUGUUGAGUAGCCAGUACGGAUCCUAGACACCCAGAUCAGAAAGCUGAGAAACAACGAAAUCCCGAUGGUGAAAGUCCUGUGGAACCACCACAAUCUGGAAGAGUGCACUUGGGAUACACGGGAGUCUAUGCUCCGGCAAUAUCCUCAUCUCUUUUAAGGUUAGUCUCUAUGUGUUUUAUGUGUAUGAUGUGAUGAUUCUAUGCAUGUACUAGUUGAGGAACAUUCGGGAACGAAUGUUCCUAAGGGGGAGAGAAUGUAAUACCCGGCUAGACUCCGGUUUCAGAAUUCCUACCGUCCGGUGGAAUCUCGGAUGUCGGAGACCUCUAGAAGGGUAGAACCAUGUUUUUAUAAAAUAUUUUAAUGUGUUUUAUGCUUUAAGCAUGGAAGAAAAUGAGUUUUUGCAUGAAAAUAGCUUUGGAGGAAAACUCAGGUUCGGCCGCCGAACAUGCAUGCAUUUCGGGUGUGCCUUAGGCCCCCGAAGGCAUAAGUGAGGAAGUCCAGGUUCGGCCGCCAAACAUGGCAUGCAUACGGAGGCAUGUUCGGCCCCCGAACGUGGCCUGGCCAGCCACUAUAAAAGGGUCCCUUAGCCGAAAACGGGCGAGCUUUUUCCCCAUUUUCGGCCAAGGUGAGCUCUCCGCCGUCCCUCACCAAUCUUUGAUGUUUUUCCUCUAGAUCUUUCAAGAUUUUCAUUUGUUUUAACUUUGUUUUGAAGAUUUGAGCUUUUGAGCAAAGUUUUGGAGCUUGGAGGUUCAAGAACCCAAUCUCUCCCACCUCCGAGUUUUUGGUCGUCUCUCUCUCGAUCUUCAAGAGGUAAGAGCCGAUCUUAAGCUCAUUGCAUGUUUUAAGCAAGUUUUAAGUAGAU